GUCUACGGCCGUACCACCCUGAACGCGCCCGAUCUCAUCUGAUCUCGGAAGCUAAGCAGGGUCGGGCCUGGUUAGUACUUGGAUGGAAGAACCCUUCUGGAGGAAAAGAGAUCACAGAUU
rnacentral:rRNA from 1 species